CACGAAGCUGGAAUCGCUAGUAAUCGCGGAUCAGCACGCCGCGGUGAAUACGUUCCCGGGCCUUGUACACACCGCCCGUCACACCAUGGAAGUCUGCAAUGCCCGAAGCCGGUGGCCUAACCACUUAUGUGGAAGGAGCCGUCUAAGGCAGGGCAGAUGACUGGGGUGAAGUCGUAACAAGGUAGC
rnacentral:rRNA from 1 species